rnacentral:rRNA from 1 species
ACAUUACUGAGUUACCGCUCUAUAACCCUUUGUGAACAUACCUAACUGUUGCUUCGGCGGGUUGGGGGGCCCCCCCCCCCCUGGGGACGCCCCCCCGGCCGCGCCCCCCUACGGGGCGCGGCGCCCGCCGGAGGAUAACCAAACUCUAUUUUAACGACGUUUCUUCUGAGUGGCACAAGCAAAUAAUUAAAACUUUUAACAACGGAUCUCUUGGUUCUGGCAUCGAUGAAGAACGCAGCGAAAUGCGAUAAGUAAUGUGAAUUGCAGAAUUCAGUGAAUCAUCGAAUCUUUGAACGCACAUUGCGCCCGCCAGCAUUCUGGCGGGCAUGCCUGUUCGAGCGUCAUUUCAACCCUCAAGCCCCGCUUGGUGUUGGGGCCCUACGGCGUACGUAGGCCCUUAAAGGUAGUGGCGGACCCUCCCGGAGCCUCCUUUGCGUAGUAACUAACGUCUCGCAUCGGGAUCCGGAGGGACUCUUGCCGUAAAACCCCCAACUCUUUUUCUGGUUGACCUCGGAUCAGGUAGGAAUACCCGCUGAACUUAAGCAUAUCAAUAA